rnacentral:rRNA from 1 species
AUUGAACGCUGGCGGCAGGCCUAACACAUGCAAGUCGAGCGGAUGAAGGGAGCUUGCUCCUGGAUUCAGCGGCGGACGGGUGAGUAAUGCCUAGGAAUCUGCCUGGUAGUGGGGGAUAACGUCCGGAAACGGGCGCUAAUACCGCAUACGUCCUGAGGGAAAAAGUGGGGGAUCUUCGGACCUCACGCUAUCAGAUGAGCCUAGGUCGGAUUAGCUAGUUGGUGGGGUAAAGGCCUACCAAGGCGACGAUCCGUAACUGGUCUGAGAGGAUGAUCAGUCACACUGGAACUGAGACACGGUCCAGACUCCUACGGGAGGCAGCAGUGGGGAAUAUUGGACAAUGGGCGAAAGCCUGAUCCAGCCAUGCCGCGUGUGUGAAGAAGGUCUUCAGAUUGUAAAGCACUUUAAGUUGGGAGGAAGGGCAGUAAGUUAAUACCUUGCUGUUUUGACGUUACCAACAGAAUAAGCACCGGCUAACUUCGUG